rnacentral:rRNA from 1 species
UACGAAGGGGGGCUAGCGUUGCUCGGAAUCACUGGGCGUAAAGCGCACGUAGGCGGAUUGCUAAGUCAGGGGUGAAAUCCUGGAGCUCAACUCCAGAACUGCCUUUGAUACUGGCGAUCUCGAGUCCGGGAGAGGUGAGUGGAACUGCGAGUGUAGAGGUGAAAUUCGUAGAUAUUCGCAAGAACACCAGUGGCGAAGGCGGCUCACUGGCCCGGUACUGACGCUGAGGUGCGAAAGCGUGGGGAGCGAACGGG